UGUGGCCUGGUCUGGUCUUGGUCUUCGGCCCUUUUACCUGACACCUAGGAACAAUCUCCUGUAACAGCUUCUUGGCUACCACUUGUGCAGUUUCCCUCUUUGUUCGCCAUGAUUCCACCCAUCUUGAGAAUGUGUCUAUCAUCACUGUUAAGUACCUGUAUCCUAUUGUAGGUGGCUUUAGUUCAGUGAAGUCUACUUCGUAAUGCUCUCCUGGGCUUAACCCAUGUAGCCUGAUUCCCACUUCCCUAUUCCUACCUUGUUUGGCAUUCACCUGAGAACACUCUGGAUACCUCAUGGUCACUGAGCGAGCCAAGUCACAGAGGCCGGGGUUUUGUAAAAAACUGGGAAGACAAGAGAUCAGUUAGUUUGGUCUCCCCUAGGUGGGUGGUAGAAUAGAGCUGCUGGACUGGCUCUUUUCCCAAGGUGGCUGGUACAAUGAUCCUUCCAUCAUAUCUUUCCCAUCACCCCUGUGGUUGAGGAGGGUCCCACUUUCUUUUGCUUGAUUCUCCACUCCGAAGGUGUAAAUGGGGUCUUUUGGCAGAGUGGGUGGUGGGUAGACAGUAUAGUCAGAUCCUUGAUGGCCUCCACUGGGUCCAGGGCAGCUUCUCCAGCUGUCCUAUCAGCCAGGCGGUUCCCCACAGCCUCGGAUGAGUCAUCAUUGUGGCACCCUCUGCAAUGCAUCACUAUUACCUCAAGGGGGAGCCACACAGCCUCAAGGAGGGUCAAGAUUUCCUCGUUCUUAAUCUCUUUCCCAGCUGAUGUCAAGAGUCCCCUUUCCUUAAGGAACAUCGCAUGGACAUGAAUGGUGGCAAACGCGUAUCUGCUGUCUGUUUAGACAUUGAUUUUCUUCCCUCUUGCCCAUCAUAGUGCCUAUGUGAGUGCAAUAAGAUCUGCCUUCUGAGCAGAUGUACCCGUGGGGAGGGCCUGAGCACAGAUGAUUUCCUUUUGAGUGGUGAAUGGUUGCCCCAGCUCUGUGGACCCCUUGAUCAAUGAAACUACUCCCAUCUGAAAACAGUAACCUCGGCUUUGUCCAGGGGAGUGUCUCUGAGGUCAGGCUGGCAAGCCUGGGUAAGAUCUGGGAGGUCCUAGCAGUCCAGGUUGUCAUCUGGCAGCAGGGUAGCCAGGUUGAUGGCCUGGUGGGGCAGAAGGUGAGCCUGGGCUGAUCUAGGAGGAGGCUCUGGUAUUGAGUGAUUCGAUAGUUUGACAUCCAGAGGCCAGUGGCCCCCUUGGAGCAACACCUCUACAGCAUGAGGGGCUGUUAUUUCCAGCUCCUGGCCCAAUGUCAACUUAUUGGCCUCUCAAACUAGGAUGGCAGUUGCAGCUACUACCCUUAAAGAGGAAGGGCAUCCAGAGGCCACAGUCUCUUUGACAGAUAAGCCACCAGCUUCCUCCAUGGCCCCAGAUUUUGAGUCAGGACUCCUUUCACUAUGCCUCAAGCCUCGUGUACAAAUAGUCUGAAAGGUUUAGUUACAUCAGGCAAAGCUAAGGCUAGGGCUGUCACCAGGGCCUCCUUUAGCACCUGGAAUGCUUUUGGUUCUUCAUCAGUCCAUUUGAAUGGCUCAGUUCCCCCAGCCUUAGCUGAAUACAAGGGCCUGGGAAUCUCAGCAAACCCCAGUAUCCAUAGCCUGAAGUAUCUAGCAGCCCCCAGGAAUCCAAGUACCUUGGUGGUUGGAACAGGUGUCUGUAAGAUGGCUUGCUUCCAAGCCAAGGAGAGGCUAUGCUUACCUUGAUGGAACUUGUGGUCUAAAUAAGUCACUUCCUUCUGGCAUAAUUGUGCUUUUUCAGCUGAGACCUGAUACCACAGUCAUUGUAAAGUGCCAAUCAAGUCCCUUGUUCCAUCUAGACAGUCCUGGGAGUUCUUGCUGCAAGAAGCAAAUCAUCAGCAUAUUGAAGAAAGAUAGUUCAGAGUGAGUAACUUGGAAUUCAGUCAGGUCCCACUGGAAUGCUUCUCCAAAGAAGGUAGGAGAAUUUUUGAAGCCCUGUGGUAGAUGAGUCCAGGUGAGUUGACCUGUCUCCCCUGUCAGGGGAUCUGUCCAUUUAAAGGCAAAAAUAAGCUGACUCACAGACGCUAGUGGGAUUCUAAAGGACAUUCUUCAGAUCCAACACAGUGUAUACCUGAUGGUCAGGAGGCAGCAGGAUUAACAGGGUAUAGGGGUUUGGCACAAUGGGGUGCACAGUCUCUACCCACUUAUUUACUUCCCUCAGGUCCUGCACCAGCUGAUAGUCUAAAGUUCCUGGCUUCUGGACCGGUAGAAAUGGGAUGUUCCAUGAGGACCUCCAUGGAGUUAGUAUACCUGCUUUGAGAAGCCUCUGGAUGUGUAGGGCAAUCUUGAGCCUGGCCUUCAGACUCAUAGGAUACUACCAAUAUCCUAACUGGUAUGGCCGUUCCCAGAAGCAUCACUACUGGAAGGGGUGUGUGUGUGUGUGUGAAGGGCUGCUAGUCCCAGUGGGUUAGUCUCGGCCUAGACACCAGGAUACUCAGACUGUACCUGCUCUAACAGAGAACUAGAAGAGGGCUUCUCUUCUGUAUCAGGAAACAGCAAAUAUUUUUCAGACAAGGCAAUGGUGAAUACCAACUUGGGUUGGGGGCUAAGGCUAGCUGGGAUUCAGUGGGGGUAAAGGUGAUGGUAGCCUUUAGCUUCUGGAGUAGAUCUCACCCUAGUAAGGGGAAAGGGCACUCCAGGACCACCAGGAAAGGGUGUGUAACCCAUUUGUGUCCCAAGUCCACAGUUCUUUCAACAGUCAUUGGAUAUCUCUUGUUAUCCCCUGUAGCCCCCAGAUAGUAACAGUUUGAUCAGAGAGGAGCCCAGAUGGAUCCUUCAGAAUGGAGAUCUUGGGUCUUGUAUCCACUAGGAACUGGGUGGAGUGGCCCCCUACCAUUCCAGUGACCAUGGGCUCCCAGUGGCCAAGGGUGAAGGAGCCCCCGGCCCUGUCAAUCUUCUUCUUCACCCUCAGUGGGGGAGGACUAACACCUUUUUCUUAUCUCCAUUCUUUUCUCCUACUCUGCAUUCAUUUUUCCAGUGUCCAAACUGUUCGCACCUAGCACAUUGAUCCUUCCCUGAUUGGAGGCAUCUCUUCUCAGUCCCUCGCUCCUGUCUACUUGGCCCUGCUGGUGGUCCCCUUAUGGCUGCAGCCAAGAUCUUUGCUUGCCUUCUAGACAAAAUUUCGGCCUGCUUUCUGGACGCUAGUUUGGCCUGUUUCUGUUUUUCUGAGUCCCAGUUAUAGUAAACUCUUUGAGCUAUUUCCAAUAGCUGGGAAGUAUUCAUCCCUGCAAACCCUUCAAAUUUCUGUAACUUUCUCCUUAUAUCUGGAGCAGAUUGUCUGACAAAGGCCAAAUUUACCACCCAGGUAUUUUCAGAGGCCAAUAGGUCAAAAGGAGUACACACCCAGAAAGCCUCCAGAAGUCGCUUGAGGAACACUGAAUUACUUCAGUGGUUUUGGACAAAUUAAUUGGCUUCUGAGCUGCCACUCAGAGCCCAUCCAUUACAGCCUGGUGGUACCGCUCCAAUGCCUCCUUUUCCUCUUCCAUGUUGGUUUCCCAGUUGGGUUGGGUGGAAGGAAAAACCCCAUUAAUCCUUGCCCAGUGGGUCUCUCUGAUACCCCAGCCAGGACCAGGGAAUCUCCGAGUGGGUUUAAUCUGUUCCCACUCCUCUCCAGUAAAUAGCAUCAUCUCAACUGCUGACAGUCAUCCCAGGUGGGUUGGUGGGUUUGUAGAACAGAGUACAAGAGCCCCAACAAUGCCUGGAGUUUAUCAGAAAAAGGAGGAUUUGGGGACUUUCAACUAUACAAGUUGGAGGAGGAGAAAGGAAUGUAUACCAGGAAGCAAUGGUCAGAGUCUCCUGCAGGGGAUGUGCCUGUCUUAAGGGAAGAACAGCAGGUGGAUCCCAAGAUAUCAGUCAGGAACUGGGAGGUGACAAUGCCUCAACAGGGCUGAGGGUUCUGAGGAGAAAACCUUGGAGGAGGCCACAGGGCCAGGUGAGUUAUAGGGGGGAGGCAAUUCAUCAUCCCCAUUGUCUGAGGGGGGGGCAGACCAAGUGAUUAACACCGGCACCUGUGGCCAACUCAUGGCACAGGCCCAUAGCCAGGGUGGUGGAUGAAGCAUCAGCGUCAACCAUAAAUCAAUGUAAGGGUACUGGUCAGGGUGACCUGGCUUCCCUGUUACUAAUUCCCAGAUCUGGUGAACCACCUUGGGGUCUAAAGACCCUGAAUCUGGACAUCCCACAUCAAAGGUGAGCCACUCUAGUUCACACAGAGUCCAUAAUCGACCCCUUUUCAGAGGGAAGACAUGACCUAAAACACUUGGAACCUGGGAAAUAAGUUGGACACAAAAGGAAAAGACCACCCUUGUAGGUCCCAGGGACUCUAGAAACUUAACAGAUAUGGCACCAGGAGAGUCUGGGGAGGGUGACCUUCCAAAUUCUGGACCAGAUAACCUCUGUCAGUAACUGUAAUAGUAGUGGUGUUGCCAUUCCUCAAAGCAGAAAAAUUCCUAGAAAGACUGAUCUUGGACUUGACCCAAAAUCAUCAAGAGACACAAAUCCUGGAGAGAGCAGAUGUUUUGGAAUCCCAGAAAGAAAUACACGGAGACACAGAAUUCAGAGAGUCCCUCUUUUGAGUCAGAAUUGAUGGAAGGUACAAAUCACAUCAAAAUUGGGGAGAUAAUUCCAAACCUAUAAGAGUCUAUGCCCCAACCCAGUGGGAGCCUGGGAUUGAUGAGGGCAAAAAUAUGAAGUCUGAGGAGAGGACUGCACACAAAAUCCUCACGUGUCUUCCCACCAAGUGUCGAAAAGAAUUCAGGCCCCAAGUGACGAGGACACAAGACACAAGACAUGAAAACGAAACCUUCAGCCACCACUUGGCUGCCUGUGACUGCCACUACUGGCCACUGAGGGUCGUCUGCCAACCUCUCAUCUCCAGUCCUCUAUCACCCCGGGACUUCCCAGUCAGUGUCCCAACCUUAUCUUGGGAGAGUCCGUGAAGGGCCCUUGUCAGGGUUAUCUUUCGUCCUGAAACUGAAAAAGGAAACCAAAAACAGACAUUAAUAAACACUUACUUCCAAGUGGAGGAUUCUUGAGGACUCCAAAAUUUUCUGUCACCGUUGGGUCCAGUGGUCCUUCUACGUCCCUCUGGCUUGUGUCCUGUAUAUGAGGGCCCUGGAGCGUCCCAGGGGGCGCCUCCUCCAGACUCAGCCGUUUGCAUGGAGAGACAUGGUAGGAGGCCAGCCUGGGACAGCGGCUGAGUUAUCUUGCUGGGGCCUCCAAGAAAUGUUAUAUUUAGCCCAGCAGCAGAGACUUACGCCACAAGGAAGGCCGAAAUUAUGAGUUCUUUAUUAUAGAUGGUGGCCAAGGGCAAGCUCACGCUCCCAGCUCCCUUGACCCCAAAUGAGCAUUUACAGCAAGCUUAUAAAGGCAAAAACCACGCACAGGUGGCUGCUGUGGAACAUUCUGACCAUAUCUUUUGUAAGCUCAGGGGUACAGAAGCAAAUCACCAAAUUAGAUGAAAACCCAAUUUCCAACAUCUGACAAGAAAUGCCUAUAUUUAUGGCUACAGCUGUAGUAUAUUAUGUCCUUUGUUCUUAGCCAAACAGGAUAUGGUAUGUUCUGGUAUAUUGAACACACAACUCAGAGGAAGGGGAGCAGAGGUCAGGCAUGAGUCAUCAUGGAGAUACCCUGGCUGAGAUCCCUUAUUUCAACUACAAAAUAAGACAAGAUGAAAGUUGACAGUUGACUCUAGAUAAACUUAACCUAAGGGCCACUCUUUUUAAAGAAGGCUUUUUUUUUGCGAUACUGGGAUUGAACUCAGGACCUUGCAAAUGCUGUACCACUGAGCUAAAUCCCUGGCCCAGAGCUACUCUUUUUGAAACUCUGACAUUGCUCAAAUUUGGCAAGAUCUUAGGACACUGACUUCAAUUGUCUGUUACAUCCACUUCAAUGUGAGUAUGUUCUGACUGACCAUCAACAGGGAACAUUACCAUUGCCGCUGGGAAUAGGCUCCAGAUGCUAAAUUGGCAGUGACUUCUGAAAAGGAAAAAUACAUUCACAGAUGAGGGUAGGGGCUGGAGAAGUUGUGAGCAUCAAAGUUACCUGUGUGUCAACAGUACCAAAACAUGUAGAUCUGUAAAGCUGAUAAAAAGGGUUCUUGCACAUGAUUUUCUAAAAGCAAAAAAGUCCUUCUAACGGGUGUGAUGGUUAGAUUGCCUGACUUUGACUUUCUUUUCUAUUUGACUUCACAAUUUUUGGUGUGAUGCUUUUUCAGGCUCAAGCAUCAGGCUUCCCUUUUGCUUACACUCUAGGUACCAUUGAUGAUAACACACCAGUCCAACCUGAGACAGCCAGCCAGGUGAUGGGAUACCUCAAGAGCCUCAAAAUUGAGGGCUGAAGUAAUCAAGGGGGAAUUGUAUCCUGCAUUGCAAAAUAGAACUUUAAAAGUUAGGUUUUUCCUUUAGAGAUAACUGGCCUCUUGAGGCCUGGGGCAUAAACAGCUCCCCUCACUUCUCCUCAGAUGAAUAAAUAAAAUAUGCAGAUGCUGAAACCUGGAGGCCUGGAGCCUAGUUUUCUUUCCACAAGAAAGGGAACAACCAAGCUAAAGAUGGGUAAAAGUGAUAAAAGGAAGUGUGGAGAUUUGCAUUAUCUCUGUACUCCCCCUCCCUUUUGCUCCUUACAAUAAGACUCCUGUCCAACUGUAGGAGGAGAAGAGAUGGUUGAGAGGGAAACAGGCUCCUCCAUUACCUCACAAAUAGCUCCUUUUUCCUUUUUACCCGAAUAUAGUCUGAUUUGAUCACUGGCCAGCAGAUGAAACUGAGUCUAUGAGCCUAAAUGGCAGGUAAUGGUUUCUUAAUAAUUCUAUCCUACUGAACAACCUUUUGUGCAUUACUGUCUCUUUCCUCACCUAUUUAAUAAUCAUUUAGCAUUCACUAUGCUGGUAGAGUAAAAUGAGACCAAUAUACUAAGGCCUUGAGCCAGAUGUUAGCAACUAAUUUUAUUUUUAAACUAACUCCCGGAAAGUGCAUGCAUUUGGGGCCAUUGCAGACAGGCACGGAUGCUCAAGAUUAGAGUGUGUGUGUUUUAGGAAAUAUAUCUGAAUUGGGUUCUUAUACAAAAUAUUUGUUUUGAUAGUGCUUAUCUCUUAAUUAUUUAAAAUAUGUUGUCUUACAUUUUUCAAUUUGUAUUAUUGGUGUUCACUUCAGACAUCUUGCUUCCUAUUAUCUAAAAAAAUAAAUGGAGAGAGGGAUGGUACUUCACAUAUACAAACCCAGCAUACUGGGAGUCUAAACCAAAGGGUCACAAUUUCAAGGUCAAAAUGGACAAUUUAGUAAUGGG